AGCGUACACGGUGGAUGCCCUGGCAGUCAGAGGCGAUGAAGGGCGUGCUAAUCUGCGAUAAGCGCCGGUAAGGUGAUAUGAACCGUUAUAACCGGCGAUACCCGAAUGGGGAAACCCAGUGUGAUUCGUCACACUAUCAUUAACUGAAUCCAUAGGUUAAUGAGGCGAACCGGGGGAACUGAAACAUCUAAGUACCCCGAGGAAAAGAAAUCAACCGAGAUUCCCCCAGUAGCGGCGAGCGAACGGGGAGGAGCCCAGAGCCUGAAUCAGCAUGUGUGUUAGUGGAAGCGUCUGGAAAGGCGCGCGAUACAGGGUGACAGCCCCGUACACAAAAGCGCAUGUGCUGUGAGCUCGAUGAGUAGGGCGGGACACGUGGUAUCCUGUCUGAAUAUGGGGGGACCAUCCUCCAAGGCUAAAUACUCCUGACUGACCGAUAGUGAACCAGUACCGUGAGGGAAAGGCGAAAAGAACCCCGGCGAGGGGAGUGAAAAAGAACCUGAAACCGUGUACGUACAAGCAGUGGGAGCCCCACCACCAAAGCAUUCUCUGGUGUUGAAGGCCCUGCAAAGCAGCAUCGCGGUGGCGGAGCGUCGUUUGCGACGCCCAACACACAAAACAAGCGGUGAGUGCUUUGGGGUGGGGUGACUGCGUACCUUUUGUAUAAUGGGUCAGCGACUUAUAUUCUGUAGCAAGGUUAACCGUAUAGGGGAGCCGGAGGGAAACCGAGUCUUAACCGGGCGUUAAGUUGCAGGGUAUAGACCCGAAACCCGGUGAUCUAGCCAUGGGCAGGUUGAAGGUUGGGUAACACUAACUGGAGGACCGAACCGACUAAUGUUGAAAAAUUAGCGGAUGACCUGUGGCUGGGGGUGAAAGGCCAAUCAAACCGGGAGAUAGCUGGUUCUCCCCGAAAGCUAUUUAGGUAGCGCCUCGUGAAUUCAUCUCCGGGGGUAGAGCACUGUUUCGGCUAGGGGGCCAUCCCGGCUUACCAACCCGAUGCAAACUGCGAAUACCGGAGAAUGUUAUCACGGGAGACACACGGCGGGUGCUAACGUCCGUCGUGAAGAGGGAAACAACCCAGACCGCCAGCUAAGGUCCCAAAGUCAUGGUUAAGUGGGAAACGAUGUGGGAAGGCCCAGACAGCCAGGAUGUUGGCUUAGAAGCAGCCAUCAUUUAAAGAAAGCGUAAUAGCUCACUGGUCGAGUCGGCCUGCGCGGAAGAUGUAACGGGGCUAAACCAUGCACCGAAGCUGCGGCAGCGACGCUUAUGCGUUGUUGGGUAGGGGAGCGUUCUGUAAGCCUGUGAAGGUGUGUCGUGAGGCAUGCUGGAGGUAUCAGAAGUGCGAAUGCUGACAUAAGUAACGAUAAAGCGGGUGAAAAGCCCGCUCGCCGGAAGACCAAGGGUUCCUGUCCAACGUUAAUCGGGGCAGGGUGAGUCGACCCCUAAGGCGAGGCCGAAAGGCGUAGUCGAUGGGAAACGGGUUAAUAUUCCCGUACUUGGUGUUACUGCGAAGGGGGGACGGAGAAGGCUAUGUUGGCCGGGCGACGGUUGUCCCGGUUUAAGCGUGUAGGUGUGUGUUCCAGGUAAAUCCGGUUCACUUUAACACUGAGGCGUGAUGACGAGGCACUACGGUGCUGAAGCAACAAAUGCCCUGCUUCCAGGAAAAGCCUCUAAGCAUCAGGUAACAUCAAAUCGUACCCCAAACCGACACAGGUGGUCAGGUAGAGAAUACCAAGGCGCUUGAGAGAACUCGGGUGAAGGAACUAGGCAAAAUGGUGCCGUAACUUCGGGAGAAGGCACGCUGACACGUAGGUGAAGUGAUUUACUCAUGGAGCUGAAGUCAGUCGAAGAUACCAGCUGGCUGCAACUGUUUAUUAAAAACACAGCACUGUGCAAACACGAAAGUGGACGUAUACGGUGUGACGCCUGCCCGGUGCCGGAAGGUUAAUUGAUGGGGUCAGCGCAAGCGAAGCUCCUGAUCGAAGCCCCGGUAAACGGCGGCCGUAACUAUAACGGUCCUAAGGUAGCGAAAUUCCUUGUCGGGUAAGUUCCGACCUGCACGAAUGGCGUAAUGAUGGCCAGGCUGUCUCCACCCGAGACUCAGUGAAAUUGAACUCGCUGUGAAGAUGCAGUGUACCCGCGGCAAGACGGAAAGACCCCGUGAACCUUUACUAUAGCUUGACACUGAACAUUGAGCCUUGAUGUGUAGGAUAGGUGGGAGGCUUUGAAGUGUGGACGCCAGUCUGCAUGGAGCCGACCUUGAAAUACCACCCUUUAAUGUUUGAUGUUCUAACGUGGACCCGUAAUCCGGGUUGCGGACAGUGUCUGGUGGGUAGUUUGACUGGGGCGGUCUCCUCCUAAAGAGUAACGGAGGAGCACGAAGGUUGGCUAAUCCUGGUCGGACAUCAGGAGGUUAGUGCAAUGGCAUAAGCCAGCUUGACUGCGAGCGUGACGGCGCGAGCAGGUGCGAAAGCAGGUCAUAGUGAUCCGGUGGUUCUGAAUGGAAGGGCCAUCGCUCAACGGAUAAAAGGUACUCCGGGGAUAACAGGCUGAUACCGCCCAAGAGUUCAUAUCGACGGCGGUGUUUGGCACCUCGAUGUCGGCUCAUCACAUCCUGGGGCUGAAGUAGGUCCCAAGGGUAUGGCUGUUCGCCAUUUAAAGUGGUACGCGAGCUGGGUUUAGAACGUCGUGAGACAGUUCGGUCCCUAUCUGCCGUGGGCGCUGGAGAACUGAGGGGGGCUGCUCCUAGUACGAGAGGACCGGAGUGGACGCAUCACUGGUGUUCGGGUUGUCAUGCCAAUGGCACUGCCCGGUAGCUAAAUGCGGAAGAGAUAAGUGCUGAAAGCAUCUAAGCACGAAACUUGCCCCGAGAUGAGUUCU
rnacentral:rRNA from 1 species